ensembl:lncRNA
AGGGGAUCUUUCCAACCCAGGGAUUGAAUCCGUGUCUCUUGCAGUUUCAGCAUAAGCAGGUGGAUUCUUUACUACUGAGCCACCUGCUGCUGCUGCUGCUAAGUCGCUUCAGUCGUGUCUGACUCUGUGCGACCCCAUAGAUGGCAGCGCGCCAGGCUCCCCCGUCCCUGGGAUUCUCCAGGCAAGAACACUGGAGUGGGUUGUCAUUUCCUUCUCCAAUGCAUGAAAGUGAAAAGUGAAAGUGAAGUCGCUCAGUCGUGUCCGACUCUUAGCCACCCCAUGGACUGCAGCCCACCAGGCUCCUCCGUCCGUGGGAUUUUCCAGGCAAGAGCACUGGAGUGGGGUACCACUGGCUUCUUUGGAGCCACCUGGGUUGCCCACAAUUAUUUCCUUAUCUCAAGAUAAACUUCGGAGCUUCCUCUUCCAUGGUCUCAUGGCGUGUCUUGAGAUGGAGCAGGGUGGAUUGUGGCAUCUUAAUUCCCCUACUAGGAUCUAACCUGUGCCUUGUGAACCAGCAGUGCAGAGUCUUAACUAUUGGACUGCCAGGAAAGUCCCUGUGUAUGUUUAAAAAUUACUCUUUAUUCAGUUCAGUUCAGUCGCUCAGUCGUGUCCGACUCUUUGUGAUCCCAUGAAUCGCAGCACGCCAGGCCUCCCU